AACGAACGCUGGCGGCAUGCCUAACACAUGCAAGUCGAACGAGACCUUCGGGUCUAGUGGCGCACGGGUGCGUAACGCGUGGGAACCUGCCCUUAGGUUCGGAAUAACUCCCCGAAAGGGGUGCUAAUACCGGAUAAUGUCUUCGGACCAAAGAUUUAUCGCCUUUGGAUGGGCCCGCGUUGGAUUAGCUAGUUGGUAGGGUAAAAGCCUACCAAGGCGACGAUCCAUAGCUGGUCUGAGAGGAUGAUCAGCCACACUGGGACUGAGACACGGCCCAGACUCCUACGGGAGGCAGCAGUGGGGAAUAUUGGACAAUGGGCGAAAGCCUGAUCCAGCCAUGCCGGGUGAGUGAUGAAGGCCUUAGGGUUGUAAAGCUCUUUUACCCGGGAUGAUAAUGACAGUACCGGGAGAAUAAGCUCCGGCUAACUCCGUU
rnacentral:rRNA from 1 species